GGGAGAAAUGAGGGAGGGGGAGCGAGAAGAAGGAGGGGGCAGAAAAAAAACACCUGUUACACCGUCGUAGAGGAAACAACUCCCGUCAGAGCGAGAGACACGGUGCGAUAAAACACACAUUUUCCCCACUCACUUGAUGAAGAAGACCCUGCCGUCCCGACACACACCGUAAGACCAGUGCUCAGUUGGCAGCGUGCAGUUUGGAGGCACCUCAGCAUCAACAAUAAAAACUCCUGACAAGGCACAGUGAGCUAAAGGGCAGACCAGUGACCUGGACCAUCUAACCCCCCAACUCACAGAGGAUGAGUGGAAUGAAUGAAUGGAUUAAUGGAUCACCUGACUUAACUACAGUACAGAAUUUCUUUUUUUUUUCUUUACAUUCAUUUGAUCCAUUUGAAAUAUUGUAUGUUUUAUUUUAAUAUUGUAUGUAAUAUGUAUGUAUAAAGAUGAUGAACAGUGUAGUGGUCCGGUGUUUCUCUCUCUUUCUUUCCCUGCACACAGUCACAUAAAUAAAACACUUUCCUGCUGAUUACCAGCCUCACUUCCCCCAUGACUUAAUUUCCUGGAACCUCUGUCACAUUUCGCGCGUUUUGUUGUACCAUUUUCCAUCAUUUUUUGACAUUUUCACUUUACCCCAGACAUUUAAUUUCAUUGUGUUUAUCUCCAUCUCGUGGAUUUCAGUGACUUUACUUCAAAGCGCGUAUGGAGCCGGGAGCAGCAGUUUCUAUUCCUAUGGGUUGUGGCUGAGACAAGUGCCGUGCUCUCGUUAAAAUACAAGAACGCUCAAUUUAAAGUGGAAUGAAUGGAGAACGCUGUAUUUCACAAUGCAGACGCGAAGACACUGAAUGUGUCUCACACCCUGUUGUGUUCAUGUUUCUGUGAUCCUCCUCUAAAGACGUAAGCUAAAACAAAUAAAGACAAUCCCACCACCUCAA